rnacentral:rRNA from 1 species
CAAACUUGGUCAUUUAGAGGAAGUAAAAGUCGUAACAAGGUCUCCGUUGGUGAACCAGCGGAGGGAUCAUUACCGAGUUUACAACUCCCAAACCCAAUGUGAACGUUACCAAACUGUUGCCUCGGCGGGAUCUCUGCCCCGGGUGCGUCGCAGCCCCGGACCAAGGCGCCCGCCGGAGGACCAACCAAAACUCUUUUGUAUACCCCCUCGCGGGUUUUUUAUAUCUGAGCCAUCUCGGCGCCUCUCGUAGGCGUUUCGAAAAUGAAUCAAAACUUUCAACAACAGAUCUCUUGGUUCUGGCAUCGAUGAAGAACGCAGCGAAAUGCGAUAAGUAAUGUGAAUUGCAGAAUUCAGUGAAUCAUCGAAUCUUUGAACGCACAUUGCGCCCGCCAGUAUUCUGGCGGGCAUGCCUGUCCGAGCGUCAUUUCAACCCUCGAACCCCUCCGGGGGGUCGGCGUUGGGGAUCGGCCCUUUACGGGGCCGGCCCCGAAAUACAGUGGCGGUCUCGCCGCAGCCUCUCCUGCGCAGUAGUUUGCACACUCGCAUCGGGAGCGCGGCGCGUCCAUUGCCGUAAAACACCCAACUUUCUGAAAUGUUGACCUCGGAUCAGGUAGGAAUACCCGCUGAACUUAAGCAUAUCAAUAAGCGGAGGA